CAGCGGGCUGGUGGGCGGGGGAGCGAGCUCGCGGCGGAGAGGAGCGUGCGCGAGACUGGGGCGCAGAAGGCGCGCGCGGGGUGUGGCGGGGGCGCCACGCAGAGGGGGCAGCGCCACCGUAGGUGAGCCUAGACUUUGCAACCUGCAGGCUGGGAGGAGCGGGAGGCCGAGAGGAGGAGUGGAGCGGCGGACAGGCCCGCGGUCACUGGGAGAGACCUGUCCCCCAAGGGCGGGAAACCCCUACAGCCCCCAGCCAGAGGAGACAAUCGCCAUAGUUCGACGGCCCCGAUGUUUUGACACUUCGCACCUUUGCGAGUGCCGGUGACCUCUGCUUGGUUCCUAUCAGAACCAGCUCAGGCGCUCCCACCUCCCGGAAGCCUUCCGACCUACGCCAUUGCGGAGCCAUUGCAGUCUUCCCAGGCCUAGUGGUUUGGGCCCAGAGCUCUGCUAGCGUCUCCCAGGUUCUGUUUUAAUUUAUGUUGGGCAGUGCUGGGCAGGGGAAGCCUCACCAAACGUUGGUUGAGGCAGUAAGUACCAGACUGGGCACUGACCUAUGGACGGGAGCUUGGGCUCUUGCCUGAGCUAGCACGCGCCAGGGCCCUCACUGAUUAAGUCAAGAAAUAUUUCCUGAACACCUACUGUGUGCUUAGCACUGGGAAGAGUGUCAACAAAGACCAUCUCUAUGCCGACUGAGUUGCAAGGCCGUGAGCAAGGAGGCGCAGUGUAAAGCAGACCCUCAGAGGAGCUCUGGGAAAAAGAGCCCCCUCCCCCUUGAUGAGAAAAUUGAGGCUCAGAGAGACCGGGUGAAUUGUUGAAGAUCACACAGCUAAUAAACAGCGGCACCAGGACCGGAACUUGGCCCACAAGGAUGGAAACGGACUACCUGAAGAGGUGCUUUGGAAACUGCCUGGGCCAGGCACUGGCAGAGGUGGCGAAGGUUCGGCCCAGUGACCCCAUAGAGUACCUGGCUCACUGGCUUUAUCAUUACAGGAAUACCUCUAGAGCAAAAGAAGAGGUGUGUGUGUGCACGGAGUCGUCUUGGGGACGGCUUCUCAGCUUCCUCACAGAAAUUUGAAAUCCAAAGCAGGAUCCCAGAGCUAGCCCAAAAGGUUUCUUGGUUUAUUCAACCUGGGAGAUCGCUUGGGCCCAGAUAUUCUUGAAGUCUGGGGCGUCUGGGGGCUGAAGAAGGAAUCCAACUCAGAGGAGUUGUGGAAUUGGUAGAUUUGGAGGUACCAGCAGGCAAAAGCUAGUUACAGGAGCAAGUUUCAGAGGCCUACAGGACCCGAGUCUGUGGUCUAUCCCAGCGAGGGCAGGCCUAUUCGUACAGGCUUCCCAGGGACUGACCUGAUUCAGCUCUCGUAUCACCCCAGGAUAGCCGAGAGAAGAUCCGGCAGAAGGAAGAAUAUGAUAAUAGCCUCAAAGAAACCGAGAUGACAGAAAUGCUGAAGCAAGAAGAGUGUCAGAUUCAACAGAAGUAUGAUAAGUGUCACCAGCCACUGGUAUCUGUAGCUAGCUCCACAAUGAAGACUGUAUUCAUACAAGAGAACACAAAACCCGUUGAGAAGGAUGGCUUGAGGCAAGAAUCUUUGCCAGGUACUUCCAAUAUGGUUCCCGGAAUGCCUCAAUAGAUUCCUUCUUGAAAGACGUCUGGCCAGGCUGACUGCAGUGUUGAAACUCCACAAGAAAUAAAUUCCUAGGCUUUUCGGCAUAAAAUUGCUCCCAGAAUGCAUCCUGGCUCCAAAUCUCCUUAAGUUAUCAAAAGGUGGCUGAUUCUCAUGAUGCUUCUCUCAAAGCUACAAGCUCAGAGAGGGGCCAGCUAGGGCUCUGACCUGAAGAUGGUAACUGUGUGAAUUAAACCAAAAUUUGAGGGACUGUGGAGGGGGGUGUCUGCAGGGACUCUCCAGCCAAAGUUCUGUUCUGAUAGCCAUGAAAACCCCUUAAUCAUGUAAACAUUUCAACUACUGAUAGGAUAAAAUAAACUCAUGAAGAUUUCAAAUAAGUAA